UACGUAGGGUGCGAGCGUUGUCCGGAAUUAUUGGGCGUAAAGGGCUCGUAGGCGGUUUGUCGCGUCGGGAGUGAAAACCCAGGGCUUAACCCUGGGCUGGCUUUCGAUACGGGCAGACUAGAGGUAUGCAGGGGAGAACGGAAUUCCUGGUGUAGUGGUGGAAUGCGUAGAUAUCGGGAGGAACACCAGUGGCGAAGGCGGCGUCCUGGACCGGCACUGACGCUGAGGAGCGAAAGCGUGGGGAGCGAUCCGG
rnacentral:rRNA from 1 species